UACGAAGGGGGCUAGCGUUGCUCGGAAUGACUGGGCGUAAAGGGCGCGUAGGCGGCGUGUCAAGUCAGGCGUGAAAGCCCCGGGCUCAACCUGGGAACCGCGCUUGAGACUGGCAUGCUCGAGUUCGGGAGAGGAUGGUGGAAUUCCCAGUGUAGAGGUGAAAUUCGUAGAUAUUGGGAAGAACACCGAUGGCGAAGGCAGCCAUCUGGACCGACACUGACGCUGAGGCGCGAAAGCGUGGGGAGCAAACAGG
rnacentral:rRNA from 1 species